AUUGAACGCUGGCGGCAGGCCUAACACAUGCACGUCGAACGAGUGGCGGACGGGUGAGUAAUGUCUGGGAAACUGCCUGAUGGAGGGGGAUAACUACUGGAAACGGUAGCUCAUACCGCAUCCCAUCGGAUGUGCCCAGAUGGGAUUAGCUCGUAGGUGGGGUAACGGCUCACCUAGGCGACGAUCCCUAGCGGGUCUCAGAGGAUGACCGGCCACACUGUAACUGAGACACGGUCCGUACUCAUACGGGAGGCAGCAUGUGGGAAUAGUGCACAAUGUGCGCAGGCCUGAUGCAGCCAUGCCGCGGGUAUGAAGAAGGCCUUCAGGUUGUAAAGUACUUUCAGCGGGGGUGCGGUACCCGCAGAAGAAGCACCGGCUAACUCCGUGCCAGCAGCCGCGGUAAUAC
rnacentral:rRNA from 1 species